CCUACGGGUGGCAGCAGUGGGGAAUAUUGCACAAUGGGGGAAACCCUGAUGCAGCGACGCCGCGUGAGUGAAGAAGUCACUCCUUAUGUAAAGCUCUAUCUGCAGGGAAGUAAAUCACGUUACCUGUGUAACUUUCCCCGUCUAACUACGUUCCAGCCGCCGCGGUACGACGGAGGGGGCAAGCGUUAUCCGGAUUUACUGGGUGUUAAGGGAGCGUAGACGGAAGGGCAAGUCUGGAGGGAAAGGCGGGGGCUCAACCCCCGGACUGCUCUGGCAACUGUACGGCUGGAGUGCAGGGAAGGUAAGUGGAAGUCGUAGUGUAGCGGUGAAAUGCGUAGAUAUUAGGAAGAACACCAGUGGCGAAGGCAGCUUGCUGGACUGUAACUGACGUUGAGGCUCGAAAGCGUGGGGAGCGAACAGGAUUAGAUACCCUGGUAGUC
rnacentral:rRNA from 1 species